rnacentral:rRNA from 1 species
ACACAUGCAAGUCGAACGGUAGCACAGAGGAGCUUGCUCCUUGGGUGACGAGUGGCGGACGGGUGAGUAAUGUCUGGGAAACUGCCCGAUGGAGGGGGAUAACUACUGGAAACGGUAGCUAAUACCGCAUAAUGUCGCAAGACCAAAGAGGGGGACCUUCGGGCCUCUUGCCAUCGGAUGUGCCCAGAUGGGAUUAGCUAGUAGGUGGGGUAACGGCUCACCUAGGCGACGAUCCCUAGCUGGUCUGAGAGGAUGACCAGCCACACUGGAACUGAGACACGGUCCAGACUCCUACGGGAGGCAGCAGUGGGGAAUAUUGCACAAUGGGCGCAAGCCUGAUGCAGCCAUGCCGCGUGUAUGAAGAAGGCCUUCGGGUUGUAAAGUACUUUCAGCGAGGAGGAAGGUGUUGUGGUUAAUAACCGCAGCGAUUGACGUUACUCGCAGAAGAAGCACCGGCUAACUCCGUGCCAGCAGCCGCGGUAAUACGGAGGGUGCAAGCGUUAAUCGGAAUUACUGGGCGUAAAGCGCACGCAGGCGGUCUGUCAAGUCAGAUGUGAAAUCCCCGGGCUCAACAUGGGAAAUGCAUCCGAAACAGGCAGGCUAGAGUCUUGUAGAGGGGGGUAGAAUUCCAGGUGUAGCGGUGAAAUGCGUAGAGAUCUGGAGGAAUACCGGUGGCGAAGGCGGCCCCCUGGACAAAGACUGACGCUCAGGUGCGAAAGCGUGGGGAGCAACCAGGAUUAGAUACCCUGGUAGUCCACG